rnacentral:rRNA from 1 species
AUGCAAGUAGAACGCUGACGAUUAGAAGCUUGCUUUUAAUCUGAUGAGUUGCGAACGGGUGAGUAACACGUGGCUAACCUACCUCUUAGCGGGGGAUAACACUUGGAAACAGGUGCUAAUACCGCAUAACAGUGUUGAUCGCAUGAUUGACAUUUGAAAGGCGCAACUGCGUCACUAGGAGAUGGAGCCGCGGUGCAUUAGCUAGAUGGUGAGGUAACGGCUCACCAUGGCGAUGAUGCAUAGCCGACCUGAGAGGGUGAUCGGCCACAUUGGAACUGAGACACGGCCCAAACUCCUACGGGAGGCAGCAGUAGGGAAUCUUCGGCAAUGGACGCAAGUCUGACCGAGCAACGCCGCGUGAGUGAAGAAGGUUUUCGGAUCGUAAAACUCUGUUGUUAGAGAAGAAUGAUGAGGAGAGUGGAAAGCUCUUCAUGUGACGGUAUCUAACCAGAAAGCCACGGCUAACUACGUGCCAGCAGCCGCGGUAAUACGUAGGUGGCAAGCGUUGUCCGGAUUUAUUGGGCGUAAAGCGAGCGCAGGCGGUUUCUUAAGUCUGAUGUGAAAGCCCCCGGCUCAACCGGGGAGGGUCAUUGGAAACUGGGAAACUUGAGUGCAGAAGAGGAGAGUGGAAUUCCAUGUGUAGCGGUGAAAUGCGUAGAUAUAUGGAGGAACACCAGUGGCGAAGGCGGCUCUCUGGUCUGUAACUGACGCUGAGGCUCGAAAGCGUGGGGAGCGAACAGGAUUAGAUACCCUGGUAGUCCACGCCGUAAACGAUGAGUGCUAAGUGUUGGAGGGUUUCCGCCCUUCAGUGCUGCAGCUAACGCAUUAAGCACUCCGCCUGGGGAGUAUGCCCGCAAGGGUGAAACUCAAAGGAAUUGACGGAAUCGAAU